rnacentral:lncRNA from 1 species
AAGUAGCUUCUUUAUGAAAAUUCACUGGCGUUGGUAUUCCUCUGAUUAAAAUGUCUACAUUUACAGGUAUAAAAGCAGUGUGUUCCUGAGGUCCAAAUUGCAGGAGGAAGACCAAAGGAAAAUAAAAGGCAGGGUUCGAGCAUCAUCUUUUUCCUGAAUGCGGGAGCCGUGCUAUAGAUGGAUUAGCAAUCGAAGAGAUACAUGCUGGUCAUUUGAAUUUUUAAGAAGCUCCAUCCACAUGGGAUUCUGCUUACAGACUCCUAAUUUUUAUUUCUUACGAAGUUAUCCAUAAAUCGUGCCAAGCAAAUUCUCACAGCAUAAGGAGUAUCUAAGAGCUCAUCAGAGUUGUUAAUGACGGCUGAGCUCCUGCAUACGAGACACUGGGCUUCGGAGCUGGCACCAAGUAAACUCUCCAUGGAAGUUUUUAUUAUUAUUAUUAUUAUCGUUAUUAUUGAUAUAUGCAGCUUGCUUACUGCACAUCGUUGUGAAGAGGGAGCUGCUGAUGUGCUCUGUGAAUGGGCAGAGCUCAGCUGGCGUGAGGAACGAUUGCUUCAGAGGAAAGGAAGGAAAAGGAAAUGAGAGCUGCAGAUAAGCAAAUGAGAGAUAUCCAGAAAAAAAAAGAGAGAAACAAUCUGUGAAAGAUGCUGCCAAGAAGGGCCAGAAGGAUGUCUACAUGGUUCCAGCUAAUGAGAUGAUAGGUCAAGGAAGGUCAUGAGCACUCUUUAUGCAUCCAAAGCUCACAUGAACUCUGUGCUCAUGGGGACAAAGAACCAGCUGGUGGUCUGAAAAUGGCUGGUUCCUUCCCUGCAAAAGAACACAGAAGUGAUGAAGGCCACUCAGAGUCUUGGAAAGACCCCAUCAACCCAGGGCACCAUAUAGGAAUUGUCCAAAGAGAUUUCAAAGACUGAGAUCAUGGAAGAGGUGGUAGAGGAUACUUUUGAAAGCAUAAAUGUUCUGGAAGAAAUGGAAGAAGGAGCAGAAGUGGAAUUGAUAAAGUUUUCUUUGAAAUUACAGCAGGAGCCUUUGGCAAAGCACCUCACAAUGAGCCUCGUAUACUUCUAGAGACCAAAUCUCCAGGAGGAGUAGCUGCCUUAGAAGAUAAGGAGUAGGAAGAAGCUUUGGAGGCCAUGCAAUCCUAGCUGGCCAUGCUCCACAGUGUGGGGCUACCUGCUUGAGCCAUCAGGUUCUUCUGCCUCGGCCAUCAGAUCACCUGCACUCCUCUGACAGGAGGUACAUUACACCUCUGUGAUGCGGCAUUACAUUCUGGAGGAGGCUCUUUGUUAAAAUCUCUUCACUCUCUGCAGAGGUUUGGAGAUCUAAAUGAGAUUGUACUUCUAAGAGGUGGUUUAAUAAAUUCAUCAUUUUCAGGAGUAUAAAAAGAAGUAUUUUUUUUUAAGGAAGGGCAGAAAAUCUGUCUUCUCUCAAAGCACUUCUGAUGAGGACUGUACUUUUUUUGUUGUUUGGAAAACACUAUAUAAAUAGAUUUUAAUAAAUUUCUGCCUUAACACAGAAAACAAGUUUUUAGAGUUUUUUAUAUGUAAGAUCAUGUCAUUUAAAGGGAGACAAUUUUACUUCUUCCCUUUUGUUGGGUGCUUUUUAUUUCUUUUUCUUGCCUGAUUGCUCUGACGUUACCUUGAUACCAAAGCCAGGUAAGUCCUCUGGCUGGGACUUCCAGUGCUGUGUUGAGUAGGAGUGGGCACCCUUGUUCUCUGCCUGAUCUUAAAGGAUCAACUUUCAACCUUUC